GACAGAGGGGCCAAGCGUUAGGCGGAAUCACUGGGCUUAAAGCGUGUGUAGGCGGGCGAUCAAGUACCUUGUGAAAUCCCACGGCUCAACCGUGGAACUGCUGGGUAUACUGGUUGUCUUGAGCCAGCUAGGGGCGAGCGGAACAGACGGUGGAGCGGUGAAAUGCGUAGAUAUCGGAAGGAACAUCAGUGGCGAAAGCGGCUUCCUGGUCCAGCACCGACGUUCAGGCACGAAAGCGUGGGGAGCAAACAGG
rnacentral:rRNA from 1 species